AACCAUCUUCCAAAUCUUCAACUGAAGCAGAAAGUGUACCUAAACUAAAGUACUUGUUUUUAGUGGCUUAAUGCUAGAAAUGGGUCCUAACUCCACUACCCCAAAACAAAACAAGGAAUUCCCAGAAAUGGGACCAGCAUGUUUUCCAAUCACUCUAUGAGGCCCCAAUUGUCAUGCCUUCAAUUUCAACCAUAGCACCCUCCCAAUAUUAGCUUCCCCUGC
rnacentral:lncRNA from 1 species